rnacentral:rRNA from 1 species
GUAAGGAAUAUUGGUCAAUGGAGGCAACUCUGAACCAGCCAUGCCGCGUGCAGGAAGACGGCCCUCUGGGUUGUAAACUGCUUUUAUCCGGGAAUAAACCUGCCUUCGUGAAGGUAGCUGAAUGUACCGGAAGAAUAAGGAUCGGCUAACUCCGUGCCAGCAGCCGCGGUAAUACGGAGGAUCCAAGCGUUAUCCGGAUUUAUUGGGUUUAAAGGGUGCGUAGGCGGCCUGUUAAGUCAGGGGUGAAAGACGGUGGCUCAACCAUCGCAGUGCCCUUGAUACUGAUGGGCUUGAAUGGACUAGAGGUAGGCGGAAUGUGACAAGUAGCGGUGAAAUGCAUAGAUAUGUCACAGAACACCAAUUGCGAAGGCAGCUUACUAAGGUGUCAAUGACGCUGAGGCACGAAAGCGUGGGGAUCAAACAGGAUUAGAUACCCUUGUAGUCC